ACUACCAAAUGCAUAAACACGUUAAAAAUUGAAAAAUUAGAAAUUGGGGAUUUUAAAAUCAGAUUCAUCUUAAUAACACGUUAUGAAGGUGUUUGAAUACCAAAUACAGAAAUGUUCCAGGGCUAUUUGAAUUCCAAAUGCAUAAAUCAAUCCGAAGUGAACCAAACGAAAUCUAAUCACCAAUGCUACACUUUUAUAUCACCAUAUAUGCUACAAUUUGAAUUCACCACCCCUUGAUAUGCCUCAUCUCUCUCCUCUUUCUCUCCUUCUCCUCUUCAGAAAAACCCUAGAAAACCAGUCUUCUCCAAUGGCGGCACACUACAUUAGAGAGUAAAUCCUAGGACUACUUGGGGAUAAAAGUUAGAUCAAGCGCUAAGGGUUACGGAUCUGAGGAAACCGAUGGAACAUACCGUUAUUUUGCAGGACUCAUGUGAAACAACAUGAUGCUCAAAUCAAUACUGGUUGUGUUCCUUAUAGUUGUAUUUUUUCAAAGAUGCAACUCUCAUCAAGAAAAUCUUCGAUUGUGGUGAAGGCUAUACCGUCAUCCUCAAUCAUUAAGAAGAGAUCUCUUUCCUGUACAGGCCGUUGUGACACUUUUAUCAGACUUGUUCGUGAUUGAAGGGCUCAGGAAUCCGUUUUGAUAGUUUUAUCGUGAGCAAAGAUGAUCAAAUCAUACAUUCUGCCGGUACUAGAAGACUACUCAUUGGGUACUGAUGGAGAACGAAUGCUUCCUAGGCUAUUGAAGAUUUACAAAAGAUUUGGUUAUCUUUGCAAGUUCAAUUUUAGAAUUUGUUUUAGGACUCAUCGCGUUGUGCUCUUUUCCUUCGUCGGGGUUUUAACCCUUCGGAUUUGGGUUUUCCUUGUCAAAGUUUUUAACGAGGCAACAUAUGCGUGUCCAACACCUUUCGGUGGUUUA